rfam:Cucumis melo, WGS project CAJI01000000 data, contig: 00721
AUAUUUUCUUGAGUUCCCUUCCAAACACUUCAGAAGAAACAACAACCAUAGCUAAUAUCACAAAUUAAAACUUUAUGAGAUGCAACUUUCAGCUGAAGUGUUUGGGGGAACUCUGGAAGAUAU